rnacentral:lncRNA from 1 species
UUCAGAAAUUAAGAAAAGCAGUCCAGUCCCUUUUUUCCAGAUACCUAAUGAAAGUUAAGAGCACAAAAGCUAAAUAAACUAUUUGUGAUGAUUAUUUUACCGAGGGAAAAAUUUCAGUUUUAAUAAGAUGCAACAUUUCACAAAAUGUAUGCAGCUAUCAAUUAUGAAUCGAGAUUGCUUUCUUAUGUAGUUUACUCAGGUUGAGGCAGUAAAUCCUUAAGUUAUAUGUUUUACAAGGCCAAAUAAAAUAAUUAUCCCACUUAAAAAUAGUACACU